rnacentral:rRNA from 1 species
GAUGAACGCUAGCGGGAGGCCUAACACAUGCAAGCCGAGCGGUAUUGUUUCUUCGGAAAUGAGAGAGCGGCGUACGGGUGCGUAACACGUGUGCAACCUGCCUUUAUCUGGGGGAUAGCCUUUCGAAAGGAAGAUUAAUACUCCAUAAUAUAUUGAACGGCAUCGUUUAAUAUUGAAAGCUCCGGCGGAUAGAGAUGGGCACGCGCAAGAUUAGCUAGUUGGUGAGGAAACGGCUCACCAAGGCAAUGAUCUUUAGGGGGCCUGAGAGGGUGAUCCCCCACACUGGUACUGAGACACGGACCCGACUCCUACGGGAGGCAGCAGUGAGGAAUAUUGGUCAAUGGGUGCAGGCCUGAACCAGCCAUCCCGCGUGAAGGACGACUGCCCUAUGGGUUGUAAACUUCUUUUGUAUAGGGAUAAACCUACCCUCGAGAGGGUAGCUGAAGGUACUAUACGAAUAAGCACCGGCUAACUCCGUGCCAGCCGCCGCGGUAAGAC